rnacentral:piRNA from 1 species
UGUCUCAGAUCUGGCAGGGCCAGCAAGGA